UACAGAGGGGGCAAGCGUUGUUCGGAAUUACUGGGCGUAAAGGGCGCGUAGGCGGCCUUCUAAGUCGAACGUGAAAUCCCCGGGCUCAACCCGGGAACUGCGUCCGAUACUGGAAGGCUUGAAUCCGGGAGAGGGAUGUGGAAUUCCAGGUGUAGCGGUGAAAUGCGUAGAUAUCUGGAGGAACACCGGUGGCGAAGGCGGUUCUCUGGGCAUUACCUGACGCUGAGGAGCGAAAGCAUGGGGAGCGAACAGG
rnacentral:rRNA from 1 species